rnacentral:rRNA from 1 species
GGACGAAAAGACCCCGUGCACCUUCACUACAGCUUAACGUUGGUAUUGGGUAAAUGAUGUGUAGGAUAGGUGGGAGACUAUGAAGGUGUAUCGCUAGAUAUGCUGGAGUCAUCGUUGAAAUACCACCCUUCUUAUAUUUAGGUUCUAAUCUACGAAAGUGGAGACAUUGUGUGGUGGGUAGUUUGACUGGGGUGGUCGCCUCCUAAAAAGUAACGGAGGCUCGCAAAGGUACCCUCAGCAUGGUUGGUAAUCAUGCAUAGAGUGCAAUAGCAUAAGGGUGCUUGACUGCAAGACCUACAAGUCAAGCAGGCACGAAAGUGGGAUAUAGUGAUCCGGUGGUUCCGUAUGGAAGGGCCAUCGCUCAAAGGAUAAAAGGUACUCCGGGGAUAACAGGCUGAUCUCCCCCAAGAGCUCAUAUCGACGGGGAGGUUUGGCACCUCGAUGUCGGCUCGUCACAUCCUG